rnacentral:rRNA from 1 species
CCUACGGGAGGCAGCAGUGAGGAAUAUUGGUCAAUGGGCGAGAGCCUGAACCAGCCAAGUCGCGUGAGGGAGUACUGCCCUAUGGGUUGUAAACCUCUUUUGUCGGGGAGCAAAAGCCGGACGUGUCCGGCUGUGAGAGUACCCGACGAAAAAGCAUCGGCUAACUCCGUGCCAGCAGCCGCGGUAAUACGGGGGAUGCGAGCGUUAUCCGGAUUUAUUGGGUUUAAAGGGUGCGCAGGCGGAUUUUUAAGUCAGCGGUAAAAUCGUGGGGCUCAACCCCAUCCAGCCGUUGAAACUGGGGAUCUAGAGUGUGCGAGAGGUAGGCGGAAUGCGUGGUGUAGCGGUGAAAUGCAUAGAUAUCACGCAGAACCCCGAUUGCGAAGGCAGCAUACCGGUGCACAACUGACGCUCAGGCACGAAAGCGUGGGUAUCGAACAGGAUUAGAUACCCUGGUAGUC